rnacentral:rRNA from 1 species
UCCAGACUCCUGCGGGAGGCAGCAGUGGGGAAUAUUGCACAAUGGGGGAAACCCUGAUGCAGCGACGCCGCGUGAGCGAUGAAGUAUUUCGGUAUGUAAAGCUCUAUUAGCAGGGAAGAAGAUGACGGUACCUGACUAAGAAGCCCCGGCUAACUACGUGCCAGCAGCCGCGGUAAUACGUAGGGGGCAAGCGUUAUCCGGAUUCACUGGGUGUAAAGGGAGCGUAGACGGCCAUGCAAGCCUGGAGUGAAAGCCCGGGGCCCAACCCCGGGACUGCUCUGGGAACUGUGCGGCUGGAGUGCGGGAGGGGCAGGCGGAAUUCCUGGUGUAGCGGUGAAAUGCGUAGAUAUCAGGAGGAACACCGGCGGCGAAGGCGGCCUGCUGGACCGCGACUGACGUUGAGGCUCGAAAGCGUGGGGAGCAAACAGGAUUAGAUACCCUAGUAUUG